ensembl:lncRNA
AGUGGCUCCCAAAGAUCCACCACUAAUGAAGAAAGUCAAAGAACGAAUAGACAAAAACAUGGACAAACGAAUCCCCAUUACAAAUCUGGUUAAAGCCUCCGCAGUGUUUGAUCCAGCUGUCAGAGAUAUCACUAUGACGAAGGAUGAAAGCAGAGAACUGCUGCAGAAUCUUCAUGAGUAACUGAACUCCUCCAGAUUCAGCUCAACAGUCUUAGGGGUUGGAGAUGAGAGGACAACUACUGAUGGUGGUCCUUCUGGUGGGAACGGUGACCACCAGUCUCAAGACGAUGGAGAUGUGGGAACAAGUGCGAAACGCCUGCGACUAGAAUUAUCAGCAGAGGCACAAGAAGAUUCAGCAGCUCAUUCUUCAUAUUCUGGAGAAGGCGUUCAUUUGAUCAAAGGUAAGAUCAGACACCCUUCUCUUUGCCAACUCGGCCACAUUGACAGGGCCCAGCCACCCUGCAACAUUUUCAAGACAUCAGAGAAAUGGUCAGUUAGGGUUGGGUUGGGUUAGGGAACA